GACGAACGCUGGCGGCGUGCCUAAUACAUGCAAGUCGAACGCUUCUUUCCUCCCGAGUGCUUGCACUCAAUUGGAAAGAGGAGUGGCGGACGGGUGAGUAACACGUGGGUAACCUACCCAUCAGAGGGGGAUAACACUUGGAAACAGGUGCUAAUACCGCAUAACAGUUUAUGCCGCAUGGCAUAAGAGUGAAAGGCGCUUUCGGGUGUCGCUGAUGGAUGGACCCGCGGUGCAUUAGCUAGUUGGUGAGGUAACGGCUCACCAAGGCCACGAUGCAUAGCCGACCUGAGAGGGGGAUCGGCCACACUGGGACUGGGACACGGCCCAGACUCCUACGGGAGGCAGCAGUAGGGAAUCUUCGGCAAUGGACGAAAGUCUGACCGAGCAACGCCGCGUGAGUGAAGAAGGGUUUCGGAUCGUAAAACUCUGUUGUUAGAGAAGAACAAGGACGUUAGUAACUGAACGUCCCCUGACGGUAUCUAACCAGAAAGCCACGGCUAACUACGUGC
rnacentral:rRNA from 1 species